GGGAUUGCCCUAGUAACGGCGAGUGAAGCGGCAACAGCUCAAAUUUGAAAUCUGGCCCUGUAUUGGGGUCCGAGUUGUAAUUUGCAGAGGGUGCUUUGGCAUCGGCGGCGGUCCAAGUUCCUUGGAACAGGACAUCGCAGAGGGUGAGAAUCCCGUAUGCGGCCGCUGGCCUUUGCCGUGUAAAGCCCCUUCGACGAGUCGAGUUGUUUGGGAAUGCAGCUCUAAAUGGGAGGUAAAUUUCUUCUAAAGCUAAAUACUGGCCAGAGACCGAUAGCGCACAAGUAGAGUGAUCGAAAGAUGAAAAGCACUUUGGAAAGAGAGUCAAAUAGCACGUGAAAUUGUUGAAAGGGAAGCGCUUGCAGCCAGACGUGCCCGCAGUUGCUCACCCGGGCCCCGUGCCCGGUGCACUCUUCUGCGGGCAGGCCAGCAUCAGUUCGGGCAGCCGGAUAAAGACCUCUGUCACGUAUCUUCCUUCGGGAUGACCCUAUAGGGGAGUUGUAAUGCGGUUAGCCCGGACUGAGGUCCGCGCAUCUGCUAGGAUGCUGGCGUAAUGGUGGCAAGCGGCCCGUCUUGAAACACGGACCAAGGAGUCUAACAUCUAUGCGAGUGUUUGGGUGUCAAGCCCGGGCGCGCAAUGAAAGUGAACGGAGGUGGGAACCCCCUCGGGGGCGCACCAUCGACCGAUCCUGAUGUCUUCGGAUGGAUUUGAGUAAGAGCAUAGCUGUUGGGACCCGAAAGAUGGUGAACUAUGCUUGAAUAGGGUGAAGCCAGAGGAAACUCUGGUGGAGGCUCGCAGCGGUUCUGACGUGCAAAUCGAUCGUCAAAUUUGGGCAUAGGGGCGAAAGACUAAUCGAACUAUCU
rnacentral:rRNA from 1 species